rnacentral:rRNA from 1 species
GACGAACGCUGGCGGCGUGCUUAACACAUGCAAGUCGAACGGAAAGGCCCUGCUUGCAGGGUACUCGAGUGGCGAACGGGUGAGUAACACGUGGGUGAUCUGCCCUGCACUUCGGGAUAAGCCUGGGAAACUGGGUCUAAUACCGGAUAUGACCUUCCAUGUAGUGUGGGGGGUGGAAAGAUUUAUCGGUGUGGGAUGAGCCCGCGGCCUAUCAGCUUGUUGGUGGGGUAAUGGCCUACCAAGGCGUCGACGGGUAGCCGGCCUGAGAGGGUGGACGGCCACAUUGGGACUGAGAUACGGCCCAGACUCCUACGGGAGGCAGCAGUGGGGAAUAUUGCACAAUGGGCGGAAGCCUUAUGCAGCGACGCCGCGUGGGGGAUGGCGGCCUUCGGGUUGUAAACCUCUUUCGACAGGGACGAAGCUUCGGUGACGGUACCUGUAUAAGAAGCACCGGCUAACUACGU